rnacentral:rRNA from 1 species
GACGAACGCUGGCGGCGUGCUUAACACAUGCAAGUCGAACGGGUCUGCCCUGUUUUUUGCGGGGUGGGUCAGUGGCGAACGGGUGAGUAACACGUGAGUAACCUGCCCCUCACUUCUGGAUAACCGCUUGAAAGGGUGGCUAAUACGGGGUGUUCUGGCUGUGCCGCAUGGUGUGGCUGGGAAAGAUUCACUUUUGUGGUGUUUUGGUGGGGGAUGGGCUCGCGGCCUAUCAGCUUGUUGGUGGGGUGAUGGCCUGCCAAGGCUUUGACGGGUAGCCGGCCUGAGAGGGUGGGCGGUCACACUGGGACUGAGAUACGGCCCAGACUCCUGCGGGAGGCAGCAGUGGGGGGUAUUGCACAAUGGGCGGAAGCCUGAUGCAGCGACGUCGCGUGAGGGAUGGAGGCCUUCGGGUUGUGAACCUCUUUCGCCGGUGAAGAAGGUCCUGCUACUUGUGGUGGGGUUGACGGUAGCCGGGUUAUGAAGCGCCGGCUAACUACGUG